rnacentral:tRNA from 1 species
AGUGAGGUGGCUGAGUUUAAGCGAUAAACUGUAAAUUUAUCAACGGAUUUUUAUCCCCUUACUA